AUCAAUGGUCCGGAUGAAUUGAUGCUUCUAGAGAUAUCUUUAAGGGCCCGGAUCAACCUUCUAGAGAAAUCUAUUUCUCUUUUCACUUUUUGUAAAGGCAAAUCCUUUAGUCUCUGUGUUUGUUCUCUUGCCGCAGCUGCUUGUGCUCUUUACUCAGCAGCAAUGAGCAAUAGCAGAGCUGAGCAAACUCCUUUUCAACCAAAAAAAAAAAAAAACCCAGCAAACUAUGAAGAAGACGAAAGAGGCAAAGGAGGAGAAAACAAAAAAUGAACCUGAAAUGAAGAUCUGUGAACACAUCAAGUCUAUUGCCAACACCAAUUGAUGAAUGAGAAACGGGUGUUUUGUGAUCUUUUCUUCUGCAAGCUAAAGAUAUCAUGUCACUUCAGUGAGAAA